rnacentral:lncRNA from 1 species
UUUUAGCCGGGAUGGUCUCGAUCUCCUGACCUCGUGAUCCGCCCGCCUCGGCCUCCCAAAGUGCUGGGAUUACAGGCGUGAGCCACCGCGCCCGGCCUACCUGCAUGAUUUCUAUUCCUCUCAUUUUGUUGUUCUUUUUAUAAAACACCUUUGCUAAAUAAUAAAGUUAUUACUCUAAGGUAGUGUCCAGGUCUCUUUGAUAAUAAUGAAACGUCUAUGGCCAAAUCCCAUUGCUUUGUUUUGACAGUGUGCUCCAAGAAAAUUACUUUGAUAUGCCCUCUCAUAUUAGAAUAAAUACAUUAUACAUGCCUAUUGCCUACAUCAAGUUUUGAAUUGUACCACUUUCAGGUUUAACCUGGCCAUACAGCAGAUUUUCUUAAUGGUUGGUGAACACGGAAUAAUAUUUUAUUCAGAUAAACUAUUUUGCAGAAACAUUUAAAGUCAGAUAUUGCAGAACUACUGAGUAUCUGAACUUUAAAGGGACACUCUUAACCAUAUUUUGUUUUAUUUAGUACUCACACUGACAAGUUGAUUUACCACCUCAUUUUCCCAACAAGUGUCAAGAUUUCAAUAUGCAGUUAGUGGUUUCUAAAAACGUUGACUAUUUAAUUACAUCCUUAUAGUUUCCCAAAAUUGCUUAUAGUUUGUCCUCAUUUAGUUAGGUCUAUAAUAUUUCUGAAUUAGUGUAAAAAUUUCUAUGCCUUUUUAAUUAUCGAUGCAUAUAAUGAUGUAUAAAAAUUAUUAUGUAGAUAGCUCCUCCAAGAAAACUUAAAAUCAAGAGCUUUUAGCAUCAAAGUAUCAGAAUACAAACUAAAGAAAACACACCAAUUUGGAAAGAUUUUCUUUAAAUACAUUAAAGUGAAUAAAAUGUUCACAGAGAAUAACUCACAUCUAAGGAUACAGACGUUUUCUUAAAGUGAAACUAUUUUUGGCUCACUCAGACUCUGGGUAGUGUUUCACUGAUUUUGAAUUUCACUGGUCAGAACCAGUGUUGGUAGUAAGAAUUACUGUCCCAGAAGAGAAUGGAAAUGCUUGCCAACUCUACUUUCAACCCUUGUUGGAAUCCCUAUGUUGUGGGUAGAGAUAUGACUAAAUUAAGCAGUUUUAAGUCUAAGCCAGAAAGAUUUAAUUAUUGAUUUAUUGGUUUUACAAUUGUUAAAUAUUGCCUUUAACCAAGUAUAUGUUUUAUCAUGUAAUAAUCACUUUGGCAACCUCAAAUGUCAUGGGUUCACAGGGUAAAUGUUAAGGUAAUAGCUAAACAAUUGAGAGUAAGGAGAUCUAAAGUAAGUGAAAAAAAUUCAAGAUGUAAUACAGAGUCCAAUAUGACAGACUUGAGAAACUUUCAAAAACUAGGAAAAGAAAACCAAAAGUCAUUCUUGCCGUGUCUCUGAUUGCACUGACUUGAUGCAGAAUUGGUGCAUUAACAUAUGUAUACAUUACAUACGUAUACAUGUGCCAUGCUGGUGUGCUGCACCCAUUAACUCGACAUUUAGCAUUAGGCAUAUCUCCUAAUGUUAUCCCUCCCCCCCGUCUCCCCACCCCACAACAGUCCCCAGAGUGUGAUGUUCCCCUUCCUGUGUCCGUGUGUUCUCAUUGUUUAAUUCCCACCUAUGAGUGAGAACAUGCGGUGUUUGGUUUUUUGUCCUUGGGAUAGUUGACUGAGAAUGAUGAAUUAAAAUAAAAAUGCAUGCACUUUCAAAUGUACUUAGUGCAACAUAUUGAACUUAAAUUCCAGUUUUCCUGGAAUUACCUGUGUCUUGAGCUAAAGGCUGUAUUUGAUAUAACAGGGAAGGAAAGAAAUUAUUUUUCCUAUAAAAUUAGUUUAAAAACACAUAUAAUUAAACAAAAUAAAAAUAUUAUUCCAUCUUUUAAAGAACAUUUACUAAUUCACAGAUAUUACCCGAAGUUUAGAAAGUCACCUAAGAACAAUUGUUUAAAAAUUAUUUAGGGAAAAUGAAGCAAAAUUGUUUUCAAUCUGAGAUUUUAACAGCCAGUGCACUCCUGUUCCUCAGCUGAAAGUCCCCUUCAUUCUGAAUGUCUGCAGUAGUAUUGAAUUGGGGAGCAGUUAGGUUCCAGGGACAUAUUCACUCCUGUUUUGUUCUCCCAUCAAUCUCAGCCUUUCGGUGACUGUUUGGGCAAAGCCUCCCUUGUGGUAGAAGAUGCCUCACUUCUGGGGAGAAGAGGCUCCUCAUCUUGCAGACAAGAAGCAGCACCCACUGGUUCUUGCUCCAAAAGCCAUUAACAUUAUAAACUGGCCAGUUGCGGUGGCUCAAACUUGUAAUCCCAGCACCUUUUGGGAGGUUGAGGCAGAAGGAUUGCUUGAGCCCAGGAGUUUGAGUACAGCCUUGGCAACAAAGUGAGACCCAAUCUCUACAAAAACUAGAGAAAAAAUAGCUGGGUGUGGUGGCACUCACCUGUACUAAGGAGGCUGGACUGGGAGGAUCUCUUGAGCCCAGGUGGUUGAGCCUGCAGUGAGCCAAGAUCACGCCUCUGCACUUGAGCUUGGGUGACAGAGUAAGACCCUAUCUCAAAAAAUAAAUUAUAAACUGAUUCACAAUAACUUUGGUUUUGUCACUAAUACGCUGAAUAUUUUUGUUACAACUAAUAUGCAAAAUACAAACUGGCUAUCACUACCAUUCUGAUAAUGGAAUUAGCUCUCCUGCAUACCUGAUGACCUAAUGCUUAACCUAAUCUUCCUCUUUCACACUUUGAUUUGGAAACUUGUUACAAUAGAGUUCUUUACCUCAAAGUCUUAAGGAAUUCAAGACAAGACUAGAGUAUGUUAAGAUACCACAAAAAAAUGUACAUAGCAAGAGAUUUCUUGAGUAAGCAAAUUUUAUACAUAUAAAAAUAAUUUACAUGCAAAUGACUAAGAGGAAAUGUUAAGUGACUCUGGUGUAAAUAAUUAGUUUUCUGAUUCUGCCAGAGCAUAUUAAGAAAAAUUCACUUUGGCAAAAUUAUAUGGAUUUAAAGAAGUAACAAGUGGGUUUCUCUAAAGUACAGUUUGGCUUUUUACUAGAAUAUCAAGUCACUUUUUUGGGUGAGGAGAGUACAAUGGGUAUGGGCAGCUGGUGAAAAUAAACAAUUAAAAUUACUUAAAACUUCAACAAAUGGGAUCUGUAUUUAAACCUGUUUUGGUCUAUCUUCCCUUUGUUUUUUCUAAUCCCAACAAUGCAAACCUCAGCCACUGUCAAGGGCAAUCUCAGACUGGAGGUUGCUGCCUAGGGUGAGGUUCUAGGAAGACUUACAAGCAGAGCUUGGGGAAAUGUCUGCAUGGGAAAACAGAGCCAGACUUAGAAGGCAAUGCUGAUGAAUCCCAUUUUCUUACUACAGAAGAGCUAGCAAAAACUGCAAUAUGAUGUGUAAAGUCAGUGUAAUCUUAUGGACAUUAUACCAAGUCACAACAUGAGGCAUGAGAUACCUCAGAUGUUGUUCCCUCUAAAUCUCAUGUUGAAUUGUGAUAUCCCCAAUGUUGGUGGUAGGUCUGGAGGGAGGUGAUUGGAUCAUGGGGGUGGAUUUCUCAGAAAUGGUCUAGCGUCCUGUCCCUGGUGCUGUCCUUGUGAUAGUGAGUGAAUUCUUUCAAGAUCUAUUUGUUUAAAAGUGUGUGGUGCUUUCCCUGCCUUGCCAGGUGUUGUGCCUGCCUGCUCCUUCUUCAACUUCUGCCAUGAAUAAAAGCCUCCUGAGGCCUCACCAGAAGCUAGGCAGAUGCCAGAACCAUGCUUGUACAGACUGCAGCUAUAAAAACCUCUUUUCAAACCUAUUUUCUUUAUAAAUUACCCAGUCUCAGGCAUUUCUUUAUAGCAAUGUAAGAAUGGCCUAAUACAGAAAAUUGGUACUGAGACAUGGGGCAUUGCUAUAAAGAUACUUGAAAAUGUGGAAGUGACUUUGGAACUGAGUAAUGGGCAGGAGUUGGAAGAGUUUGGAGGGCUCAGAAUACAGGAAGAUGAAGGAAAGUUCUGAAUUUCUUAGAGACUAGUUAAAUGGUUGUGACCAAAAUGCUGAUAGUGGUAUGGACAGUGAAGGAUAGGGUGAUGCAGUCUCAGAUGGAAUUGAGGAACUUACUGGGACUUGGAAUAAAGGUCAUGCCUGUUAUGCCUUUGCAAAGAACUUGGCUACAGUCUUUUCAUGUACUAGGGAUCUGAGGAAGUUUGAACACUCAGACGCAGGAGCAAAAAAAUGACUUAAAGUUGGAAUUUACAAUUAAAUGGGAAGCAGACCAUACAAGUAUAGAAAAUUUGCAGCCUGCCCAUUUGGCAAAGGAAGAUAAAGCAUUUUCAGGGGAAGAAUCUAAACAGGCUGCGGAGCAACCACUUAUUAGAGACAUUUGCAUAACUGAAAAAGCUAGGUGCUGAUAGCCAAGAAAAUUAAAAAAAGGCCUUGAAGGCAUUUCAGAAAUCUUUGCAGCAGCUCAUCCCACCACAGACCUAGAGGUCUAGGAUAAAAGAAUGGUUUCUUUUGUAGUGGGAUUUUAAAAAUUAAUUUACUUAUUAAUUUAUUUAUUUAUUUUGAGAUGGAGUCUCACUCUGUCACCCAGGCUGGAGUGCAGUGGCACAAUCUCAGCUCACUGCAAGCUCUGCCUCCUGGGUAAUUUAUUUAUUUAUUUUGAGAUGGAGUCUCACUCUGUCACCCAGGCUGGAGUGCAGUGGCACAAUCUCAGCUCACUGCAAGCUCUGCCUCCUGGGUACAUGCCAUUCUCCUGCCUCAGCCUCCCAAGUAGUUGGGACUACAGCUGACUGCCACCAUGCCUGGCUAAUUUUUUGGAUUUUUAGUAGAGAUGGGUUUUCACUGUCUUACCCAUGAUGGUCUCAAUCUCCUGACCUCGUGAUCUGCCCGCCUUGGCCUCCCAAAGUGCUGGGGUUACAGGAGUGAGCCACCAUGCCCAGGCUGUAGCGGGAUUUUUUAAGGAAUCAGAGACACCAAUAGGGUUGAGGAAGAUAUUUAUUAUUUAGGUGCACCGGCCCAGUCAGAUUAACAUCCAAAGGACUGAGUCCUGAACAAAGAUUCAAGUUACCUUUUAAGCGUUUUGUGGGGUGGUGGGGAGUGGGGGAGAUCUGUGCACGGGGAAGCAUAUUACAGAAGCGAGAAACAAAGACAGUUAUUCAAUUAAUUGAGACAUGCAUUAUAUUAUUUCUUACUUUUCAAGGAAAAACAUGUUUUACGACUUGAGUUUCUCUGUCUAGUGAACUUGCAGCUGCACAGCUAGAGAAACAGGUUCUUCACAAUGCCUGGGAAAGGAGGAGAGAUGAGGCUCACUAGCCACAGCAAAACAGGCAGUUAAUUUUUAAAGGACUCCAGCUCUUUCUGUUUCUCAGGGGGAAUUGGGUUUUCUCACAUACAGCUGAGUUUCUGCUUACACAUUUUUUAAUUUCUUUUAAUUCCUGUUCCACUUGGUCCAGGGCCAGGGCAUCACUGCCCUGUACCACCUCCAGGAGGGAGUUCCUUGCAUCCUGGCCCUUCUAGCUCCAGGCUUGGUUCAAAGGGCUGCAGAUAGAGCUCAGGCCAUUGCUUCAGAGGGUGCAAACUAUAAGCCUUGGUGGCUUCCAUGUGGUGUUAAGCCUGCAGGUGAUCAAAGUGCAAGAGUGAAGGAAGCUUGGCAUUCUCUGCCUAAAUUUCAGAGGAUGUAUGAGAAAGGCUGGAUGCCCAGAGAGAAGCCUAUGCACAGCUGGAGCCCUCAAAGAGGACCUCUUCUAGGACAGUGCCAAGUGGUAAUGUGGGAUUGGAGGCCCCACACUGUGGGGGCUGCCUAGUGGAGCUGUGGGAGGGGGGGCUGCUGACCUCCAGAUCAAAGAAUGAUAGAGCCACCAGCAGCUCCUGUCUUCAGUGUAGAAAAGCUGUGGGAGCAGAGCUGCCCAAAGCCUUGGGAGCCCACCCUAUGCAUCCUGGUAAUGCUCUAUGUUCCCAGGAUGUGGGACAUGGUUUCAAAGGAGAUUAUUUUGGAACAUCGAGAUUUAAUGACUGCCCUGCUGGGAUUUGAACUUGUGUGGGGCCUGUAGUCCCUUUCUUUUGGCCAAUUUAUCUCAUUUGUAAUGGGAAAGUUUACCCAAUGCCUGUAUCCCAGUUUUAUCUUAGAAGUCAAUAACUGGUUUUGAUUUUACAGGCUCAUUGGUGGAAGGGACUUGCCUUGUCUCAGAAGAAACUGCACUUUCGAGUGAUGCCAAAACAGUUUGAGACUUUUGGGGGACUAUUGAGAAGGGAUGAUUGUAUUUUGCAAUGUGAGAAGAACAUGAGAUUUGAAGGGCCAGGGAUGGAAUGAAAUAGUUUGGAUGUUAUACCCUUUAAGUCUCAUGUUGAAUUGUAAUUCCCACUGUUGGAGGUGGGGUCUGUUGGGAGGUGAUGGGGUCAUAAGGGCUGAUUUCUCAUGUUUAGCACCAUCCUCUUGGCACUGUCCUUGCAAGAGUGAGUGAGUUCUCAUGAUAUCUGGCUGUUUAAAAGUGUGUGGCACCUCUCCCUGCUUGCUCCUGCUCUGGCCAUGUGACAUACCUUCUUUUGCUUCACCUUCUGCCAUGUGUAAAAGCUCCCUGAGGACCCUUCUUGAAGCCAAGCAACUGCCAAUGCAAAGCUUCCUGUACAGCCUGCAGAAUUGGGAGCCAAGUCAACCUUUUUUUUCGGUAUAAAUUACGUAGUGCUUAGGUAUUCCUUUAUAGAACUGUCAUAGUACAAUUAUAGCAAGAAUGUCAUAAUACAAGGCAUAAUGGUUUGCAUUUUAAAAAUGAAAAUUAAAUUUAUGUAAUUUAUCAUGAAAGGAUGAAAUGAGUUAAUAAUGAGUAAUAUCUACAUGUUGUCUUAGAGGUGCUGACAAUCUGUCAAGGAAUUACAUGCACGGAUCAAGCAGUUUACCUUCAAGUUGAAUAACAAGAAUGAUGGAUUAGGGGAUUUCAGUGUGCCUCAGCCAGUUGGAAGUAGAAAAAUAAGCAUAAAGAUAAACUUUGUGAACUUCAAUUCAAGAAGAAAAAUAGGAAUUCACAGGAAUAGAAAAGAACAUUCCAGACACUGUGGAAGGGGAGGUGGGAAGGCAGCCUCUGUUAUAACAUUUGGUUCAUAAAAGGGAGUGAAACACCAGUACGAGAGAAGAGCAGCCAGUCUCCCUCUGCAACUCACCUUUCCACUGGGGAUCUGUGCAAUCCAGAUUAAGGGAGAGCACUCUGUUUCUCCCAAGCCUUGGAGCUAGCACAAAAGAGGCUGAGAUAUGGGGAAAGAGGAAAGACACUCAGAAAAGCUGCAGGCAUUUCCCCAGACCUGGGACUGAGAGAAGGAUGCCCUUUUUAAUCUGGGCUCAUACAAAGUCAAUCAUUGUUUUGUGCCUGGCAAUGAUGGCCACUGCAGACACUUUAAUCUUGGGCUAGGAAUUGGAGUGCUUGCUCUGGAGCAGGGGAGCAGCCUCCACCGCCAGAAUUGAGUGUUGAGUAUGGAAAGUGCCCCAGGAGUAGGUGUUGGAAUUAGGCUCUCUCCUCUUGCAGGACUGUAGUGGGAAGAGAGUUCCUAAAGCAGAGGUUUCUCAAGGAUGGUGAGACUUGCAGCCAAGAACAACUUUGCAACCUGGAACUGGUCUGUGUGUGUCAUUGCUGGGUGUCCCAGCCUACUCCCUUGGUCAGUUGACAGAGUACUCCAUCAGCUCCAAGAAACAGGAGGGAGGUGAACCCCAUUCCCCAGGAGACCUAAACUUUGGUGGGGACCAGCCCUAAGGGAAGGAGGAAUACAGCUUGCCAAACCCACCCCUUGGAUAAAAGGAAACACGAUCAUGACAUCAGCUGCUGAAAGGGGCACACCAAAGCCUGGGAACAGAUUUAGAGAGGUAGUCAUCUCUUGCCCUCUGUCCCCUUCCUAGUGCACUGCUGCAGACCCAGCAGUGGUCAUCCUGUUGGGGCCCAAGGAACGUGGGCUGAAAGAGGCUGCUUCUUAGGUUUCUCCAGCAGCUCUGCCCCUGCUGAAGACUAGUACACACUGGGACAGGGCGCUUUUGGCACUUUGUCACUUCUGUACCUGUCGAGGACAAGUACACAGAGGAGAAGACCCUGCAGCCAGCUGUCACUCUUAAGCACUGUUUACUGGACUGAAGCCUUGAUUACACCACCAAACAAAAAUACAUCACCACACCACGCCACCACAGGAGCCUAUCUGCAACCAAGGAACUUGUACAGAGCCUUGGUCCUCUGAAAGUACCCAGAAAUGAAGCAAAUUGAUCCUAUACAACACACACCACAGUCAUACCCUUAAGAAAAAGAAAGAAUGAAAAAUUAAAAAAAAAACUCCUUCCAAAUGAUAGCAAGUUCAGCAAAAGUAGCAUCAAGUCUCUCAGAUGAGAAGAAACCAGCACAAGAACUCUGGCAAUACAAAAAGCCAGAAUGUUCCAUCACCUCCAAAGGAUUACACCAGCAAUCUAACAAAGAGUCCUAACCAGAAUGAAACAUCUGAAAUGACAGGUAUAGUAUUCAAGAUAUAAGUGGCAAAAAGAAAAAUCACCAAAAUCCAACAGAAAGUUGAAAUCCAACAACAAACCCAUAACAACGAUCCUGGAUUUGAAUGACAACAUAGCCAUAUUAAGAAAGAACCAAGCAGAGCUUCUUGCAUUGAGAAAUUUACUAUAGGAAUUUCAAAAAACAGCUGGCAGCCUUAGCAACAGACUAGACCAAAUAGAAGAAAUAAUUUAAGAGCUCAAAUACCAGACCUUUGAAUCAACCGAGUCAGACAAAAAUAAAAAAAGAAUUUAAAAAUAAUGAACCAAACUUUUGAGAAAUGUAAGAUUAUGUAAAGGAACAAAAUCUAUGACUUAUUGGCAUUUUUUUUUUGAGACAGAAUCUCACUCUGUUACCCAGUCUGUAGUGCAGCUGCAUGAUCUUGGCUCACUGAAACCUCCACCUCCUUGAUUCAAGUAAUUCUCAUGCCUCAGCCUCCCAAGUAUCUGAGAUUACAGGCGUGUGCCAGCAUGCCUCAGUAAUUUUUGUAUUUUUAGUAGAGAUGGGGUUUCACCAUGCUGGCCAGGUUGGUCUCAAAUUUCUGGCCUCGGGUGAUCCUCCCACCUUGGCCUCCCAAAGUGCUGGGAUUACUGGCAUGAGCCACUGUGCGUGGCUGACUUAUUGGCAUUUCUAACAGAGAAGAAGAGAAAGUAAUCAACUUGGAAAACGUUUUUGAGAACAUAAUUCAGGAAACUGUCCUCAAUCUUGCUAAAGAGGUCGACAUGCUGAUACAAGAAAUCCAGAGAACUCCCGUGAGACUGAAGGUAGACAGUGAAGCAAAUGCUUGCUUUCUUGUGUGGCUCUGAUUAGCAUCAGGAUAUCUACAUUUUACAUAGGAAAGGAGGGAGCAGAGGAAACAGUUAUGCAUUCAUCUCGCAUUCAGUAAAUCUCCAUUUUACGUAAGAUAAAGUAAGCAUGUAAAUAGAGGGAGUGGAGUAAAGGAAUACUCAAUGAUUCAUUCAUCUCAGGAUAGGCAGAGGGAUGAUUUCUCGUCCUGACCUUGUCCCAGAACUAUGAAAAUAAGCUGGUAAUUGAGAUUCUCAGGGUGAAAUUGAGCCGACUCACUUUUAGGGAUAGUUUACAGGUGGGAUGUGCAUUCUGAAAAAUUUAGGGGCUCACAGCAAACUGUGAGGGAGGACAUCUGAAGAGACAUGCGGCCUUCUGUCACUGUGGGAACCUCGCUUAUGGAUGAGGCUAUGACACAGGGUUGUGAAGUUAUAACUAUGUGUUUGAGAACAAGGAAAGCAGUAUUGCAUAACUCAGUUCCCAAGCUUAAUUUUCCCUUUGACACAGUUAGCUUGGGGUUGGGGUCUCUAUUCUCUUUUCUCUCACAAAAUCAUAUGGGAACAUUCCAGAAAAUGUGAGGUUCUGUGCUCACUAUUAAAUAAAAAUGACCAGGAGAGCCAUGGGUAAGCUCCCUCCUCAGUCAUCAGGACCCCAACAGAGAGUUUUCCCCUGUGUGGACAGGGUCCUGAAUUCUACAGGAUCCCGUGGGGACACAAGUGUCAGGAUAGAGACAUUCAUUCAGCCAGGCACAGUGUCUCACACCUGUAAUGUCAGCUACACUGGAGGCUGAGGUCGCCUUGAGGCCAGGAUUUCAAGACCAGCCUGGACAAGAUAGCAAGAUCCCAUAUCUAAGAAUAAAAUUAGCCGGGUGUGGUGGCAUGCACCUGUAAUCCUAGUUACUUGGGAGGGAGGCUGAGGUGGGAGGAUUGCUUGAGCCUAGGCGUUGGAGGCUACAACGAGCUAGGAUUACACCACUGCACUCCAGUCUCGGCAACAGUAAGAUUUCGUAUGUAACAACAACCAAACUAUUCUGUGUUUUGAGUGUAAAUUACCAUAGCCAUUGUAACAGAAAUUAGGCAGCAACUCUUAACAUUCAAAAUGCAUAAGCAAUUUGGCUAAGCAAUUGUACUUGUAGAUUAUUUAUUUAUUUAUUUAUUAUUGGGACAGAGUCUCACUCCGUCCCCCAGACUGGAGUGCAGUGACAUGAUCUCAGCUCACUGCAACCACUGCCUCGUGGGUUCAGGCAAUUGUCCUACCUCAGCCUCCCGAGUAGCUGGGGCUACAAGUGCGCAUCACCAUACCCAGCUAAUUUUUGUAUUUUUUGUAGAAAUGGGUUUUUGCCAUGUUGGCCAGGAUGGUCUCAAACUUCUGACCUCAGGUGAUCCACCCACCUCGACCUCCCAAAGAGCUGGGAUUACAGGCACUAGGUCCCUAAUUUAGAGCCAUAUUCUUUAAUGUCUAAAAGCACUCUUGCAUAUUUAUUACUGCAUUGUUUGAACUUAAAUAUCCACAACAGGAUAACAGGAUAAUUAAACAAUUUAUUGCACUAUGGCACAUCCAUCUGUUAACAAAAUGAAAUCGAUCUUUCUGUACUGCGGUGGAAUGAUUUUCUGAACAUAGUUCAGGUAAAAAAAAGACCACUGUUGAAUAAUGCUUCUGGUAUAACACAAUGUGUUUGAAAAUGUACACAAUACUCUGUAAUAUCCAAUGCAUACAUCUAUCAAAGUAAAUAUAUUUUAUUCUAGGGUAAUUAUUAAAACAUUAAGAAAUACUCUUUAAUCAUAUAUGUUAAAACUUGUAGAAAAUCAAUAACAUACAAGUAAAGAAGUUCAAGAAGCCAAAAAAAGUAAUUCCGAGUGUAGAAAGCAUGGUGAGAAGUGAUGGAACAAAACUGCAGAAAUUUAAAAUGCAAAAUUAAAAUACAUAAUUCUUAAUUAAAAUACAUAAUUCUUCAUUGAACCCCGAAUCUGUCAGGAUGUAUGUGUGAUCUUGGACAACACAUUCAACCUCCUCACACUGAAUUUUCUUGAGUGUAAACUGUUUUAGAGAUGUUCCUCACCCGGUUGCAUGAAGCAUAUCUGUGUGUGUUAAGGCACUUCCCACAGCAUCUGCGA